UCCACUUCCCAUGGCUCGCUACCAGUGCCCAUGAGAGGGAUCGACUGGUUUCCACCCUUCAUCCCACCCUUUAUAAAAGGCCCCUUCCUCAACUAGAAAUAUCCACCACCUUUGCUCCGGAGCUUUCUUCUCUCUUUUCUUUUCCUCUUGCUCAUCCUAUAUUUUGGGAGGGUGUGCUGCAUCUACCUUUAAAAUGUUGCCAAGAAGCCGAACUCUUCCAUCGAGGAUCCACGACAGUGUUUCGGAUGAGAAUCGUGAUGUAAGGGCGUAUCUUCAAGUGGAGACCCAACCCAAACCCCUCAAGGACAUUGAAGCCACCAGAACCGCUCAGCCAGAAUAUUCCAAGUUGUUUGAUGAUGAUGGCCGUCUAAAGAGAACUGGUACCUUUUGGACUGCAUCUUCACACAUUAUCACAGCCGUUAUAGGAUCAGGAGUCUUAUCACUUGCAUGGGGCGUAGGGCAGCUAGGUUGGAUCGCAGGACCUGCUGUCAUGAUCCUCUUCGCAUUUGUGAUCCAAUACACCUCCAAUCUUCUCUCCGACUGUUAUAGAACUGGCGAUCCAGUCACUGGCAAGAGAAACUAUACAUACAUGGAUGCCGUCGGGGCCAACUUAGGGGGAGCAAAGGUUAAGAUAUGUGGAGCUAUUCAAUAUGUGAACCUCUUUGGUGUGGCUAUUGGGUACACUAUUGCAGCUUCGAUAAGUAUGAUGGCAAUAAAGAGGUCCAAUUGCUUCCAUGCUAGUGGAGGGAAGGACCCAUGUCACGUGUCAAGCAACAUCUACAUGAUCAUCUUUGGUAUCAUAGAGGUGAUACUCUCUCAGAUUCCGGAUUUUGAUCAAGUCUCGUGGCUCUCCAUUGUGGCUGCUGUCAUGUCCUUAACCUAUUCGACUGUUGGGCUUAGCUUAGGCAUUGCUAAUGUUGCAGAGAAUGGAAGUAUCCGUGGUAAUCUUAUGGGUAUCAACAUAGGGACGGUGACCAAAGCGGGAACUGUAACUGCCACCCAAAAGGUAUGGAGAAACCUGCAAGCACUUGGAGAUAUUGCCUUUGCUUACUCCUUCUCUAUGAUCCUCAUCGAAAUCCAGGAUACACUUAAAUCACCACCAGCUGAGAACAAAACAAUGAAGAAAGCCACCCUAGUGAGCAUCGCUGUCACCACCAUAUUCUAUCUCCUGUGUGGGUGCAUGGGCUAUGCUGCCUUUGGAGAUGACGUACCUGGCAAUCUGCUCACUGGUUUUGGAUUCUACAACCCCUAUUGGCUUCUUGAUAUUGCUAACCUCGCAAUUGUUGUCCACCUUGUUGGAGCUUAUCAGGUAUUCUGCCAGCCUCUGUUCGCCUUCGUGGAGAAGUGGAGCGCACAGCGAUGGGACAAGAGCGAGUUCAUCACCCACGAGUAUGAGGCCCACCUCCCCUUGGUGGGCUCCUCCUACAAGCUCAAUCUCUUCCGGCUGGUCUGGCGGACGAUCUUCGUGGUGGUGACCACCCUCAUCUCCAUGCUCAUGCCUUUCUUCAACGACGUCGUCGGCAUCCUCGGCGCUAUCGGCUUCUGGCCCCUCACCGUCUACUUCCCCGUCGAGAUGUAUAUCGUGCAGAAGAAAAUCCGGCGGUGGAGUGCGCGGUGGGUGGGCCUCCGGCUGCUCAGCUUCACGUGCUUGGUCGUGUCCCUCGCGGCCGCCUGUGGGUCGGUGGCCGGAGUCGUCCUUGACCUCAAGUCCUACAGGCCUUUCAAGUCCACCUACUGAUCGUGAGUCUGCCGUGAAGUCUGGAUAGGUCUAGGAUUACUGCCUUUGCUGCCGGUUUGAAGCAUAUGAUGGUGCCUUGAUCAUCUUAUGCUCGUCGGAAUUUGCGAAGUAGAGAAUGGAAGAGAAAAUUGGAGGAAUCAACAAGAUUACGAGAGAAGUUGGAACUAGACGACAUGGGGAAGCUCGAUCAAUUUGGUUCUUUGGUCGAACAGAUCCCUUUGGUCCCAACAUCAGUAAAGCCAGAGAAUAGACCAAAAUAAAACUCGCUGACAGUGUAAUAAGCACAAUGAUCUAUAGGCAGACAUGAUGGAUGAUACGUUGAAAAUUGUCCUGAAUUUUUGUUUUUUCUCCAUUUUCACAAUCCAUAAGAGCAGCUGCAGGGAAGAAGUCAUAGGAUUUCACUCAAACCAAACUUGCACACAUCUCAUUACACAGAAAAGAUGAGGUAAAAAGAGUAUACAGAUUGGCGGACCACUUCACUGAAAAAGAACAAA